UGAUAGAUCAUAGUUGUUUUAAUUCUUAGUUCUUUAAUUAGUAGUAAUUUAGAGCAUUAAAAAAAUCCAUCUGAGAAUUGCUUGUUCAUAUCAUUUGUAAAAGAGGAAUCUGCCAGAAGGAAGAGAGAGGCAGAUUUGGCAGGCUGAAGGACCAAGUAGAACAGGGAAAGCACAGGAAGGAGAUAGAGUUCUAAAGGAAGGGGAGAGGAAGUAAGAGGAUCUGUACAGUUGGAAGGGACUUCUCUUUGGGAAGCUCACCAGAGAGGCUGACCUGAACAGAUCUCUGAGCAGGCACAAUCCUCCUGUGACUUCUGACCCAGCAUCCAGUGAAAACAGCAGGGAAAAUGGCUGGCUCAAAAAAGGACAUGGCUGCUCCAAAAGAGCCAGAGGCAAGAGCAUCCCUGAGGGCAGCUGCCUUGGACAUCAAAAAAUGAAGCCAAGUCAGAUGGGUAACAGCACCUUCUGGAUGAAUCCAAGCAGGAGGAUCUCUCAAGUAUAGUAAAACUAUGUGUUAAGUUACAGGCGAUUCUCCAAUCCCUUCUCUG
rnacentral:lncRNA from 1 species